GACAGAGCCAGAGAACUAUACGGCUCCUCUUGUGACAGAGUCGAUCAUUGGAUCCCAAGCAUCGGAGACUACAGGGGUUCAGGAAACGUCUCAAUUUUUACCCAAAGCUACGUUCUCGACUCCUACAUUUUCACUUUCUAAAAGGACAUCUCACAUACCACAGAAACAAUCCACGUUUGAUGUUUCUACGAAUAGUGUAACUUCGUUGAGGAUCACGUCAUGGAAAAAAGACAAUGAUUCUCCAUUGGAAAAAGAGGUCGAUGUUACCAAGCCCAACCUGAUUUUUAUUGUGUUAGUGCUACUUGCCAUUUUCAUUCUGGGCCUUAUAGCAGUGUUCGGAUUAUUGU